AUUGAACGCUGGCGGCAUGCCUUACACAUGCAAGUCGAACGGCAGCACGGGAGCAAUCCUGGUGGCGAGUGGCGAACGGGUGAGUAAUACAUCGGAACGUGCCCAGUAGUGGGGGGAUAACCCGGCGAAAGCCGGACUAAUACCGCAUACGACCUACGGGUGAAAGCAGGGGAUCGCAAGACCUUGCGCUAUUGGAGCGGCCGAUGUCAGAUUAGCUUGUUGGNGGGGUAAAAGCCUACCAAGGCAACGAUCUGUAGCUGGUCUGAGAGGACGACCAGCCACACUGGGACUGAGACACGGCCCAGACUCCUACGGGAGGCAGCAGUGGGGAAUUUUGGACAAUGGGCGCAAGCCUGAUCCAGCCAUGCCGCGUGCGGGAAGAA
rnacentral:rRNA from 1 species